UACGUAGGGAGCAAGCGUUGUCCGGAAUCAUUGGGCGUAAAGCGCGCGUAGGUGGCCUCAUAAGUCCGCUGUGAAAAUCAAAGGCUCAACCUUUGAAAGCCGGUGGAUACUGUGGGGCUAGAGUACGGAAGAGGCGAGUGGAAUUCCUGGUGUAGCGGUGGAAUGCGCAGAUAUCAGGAGGAACACCAAUAGCGAAGGCAGCUCGCUGGGACGUUACUGACACUGAGGCGCGAAAGCGUGGGGAGCGAACAGG
rnacentral:rRNA from 1 species